GCUGUAAAAAUUACAGCAAUAUUUUACAGCCGAUGGCUGUAUUUUAAUAAUACAGCAUAUUGCUGUAAAUUGCAAUGAAUUCCAGGGGCGUGGCGGUUUGAAUCAAAUUUACAGAAUAUUGCUGUAAAUUUCAAAUAUACAGAGGCAUUGUGGGAUCUCCAACGGUCAAGAUUCGAGUAGCAGCAAGAGGAGUGAUUUACAACUGUGGUAUUUAUCUGGAGAGAGGAACAAAGACGAAAGGAAAAGUGCCAUCUAAAACAACAGGCAGACAGUUCAGAAGAAACGGGUUGCGUUCAACCUACAUGUGGCCACUCUUCUGUGCAAAGUGAUGGAUUUUCAGUGGAAUUUCUGAAAUCCUCUCUUUGAAUCCUGGGAUGGAACAUCAUCUGGAGCAGAAUUGUUCUUUUUUGAUCGCAAGUUUGUUGGACUUGUUGUUUGGCCAUGUUGGUAUGUUCAUGAAGUGAUAAAAGUGAUGUGGGUUUUAAGAAAUGUUUUUAUAUGACCCUGUUGGUCAAGUUAUAGUUAUAAUUGUAUUUCUUUGUGUGAAGGGCCAUGAUGGCCAAUAAGUAAUUUAAAAACAU